AAUGAACGCUGGCGGCAGGCCUAACACAUGCAAGUCGAACGAAGUCUUCGGACUUAGUGGCGGACGGGUGAGUAACGCGUGGGAACAUACCCUUUGGUACGGAAUAGCCUCGGGAAACUGGGAGUAAUACCGUAUGUGCCCUUCGGGGGAAGAUUUAUCGCCAAAGGAUUGGCCCGCGUUGGAUUAGGUAGUUGGUGGAGUAAUGGCCUACCAAGCCGACGAUCCAUAGCUGGUUUGAGAGGAUGAUCAGCCACACUGGGACUGAGACACGGCCCAGACUCCUACGGGAGGCAGCAGUGGGGAAUCUUAGACAAUGGGCGCAAGCCUGAUCUAGCCAUGCCGCGUGAUCGAUGAAGGCCUUAGGGUUGUAAAGAUCUUUCAGAUGGGAAGAUAAUGACGGUACCAUCAGAAGAAGCCCCGGCUAACUCCGUG
rnacentral:rRNA from 1 species